rnacentral:rRNA from 1 species
UACGUAGGUGGCAAGCGUUAUCCGGAAUUAUUGGGCGUAAAGCGCGCGCAGGUGGUUUCUUAAGUCUGAUGUGAAAGCCCACGGCUCAACCGUGGAGGGGCAUUGGAAACUGGGAGACUUGAGUGCAGAAGAGGAAAGUGGAAUUCCAUGUGUAGCGGUGAAAUGCGUAGAGAUAUGGAGGAACACCAGUGGCGAAGGCGACUUUCUGGUCUGUAACUGACACUGAGGCGCGAAAGCGUGGGGAGCAAACAGG